GCUGGAUGGAACUCUUGUAAUUAUCUGCGUGCGAUUUCCUCUCCUUCCGAAUCUAGAUUCGAAAUUCCCUGUUUGAUUGACCAUAUAUAGUAUUUUUAUAUAUGGAGACUUCAUCUUCUUGUUCUAUUCAAACCACAAAACACUCCAUCAUCUUAAAUCCAAAACCGCCUCUUCUUACUAAGUUCGUAUCUGUUGACUUCCUCUCCGGAGACGAGCUUGUCUUAAGAGGAAGGGAGAUAUUUAUUUCAGAUCCUGGACAGAGAUGGAAGUUUUCCAGCCCUUCAAAACUGCUGAUAGGCAAAGACACCGCCCCUUAACUCCUUUUAGGUUCACAAGGGGUCUGAUAUGUCUGCUGGUGUUUCUUUCCACUUCUUUUAUGUUUCUAGUGUAUUUUGGACCGCUGGCCUUAAUGACACGGCUUGCCAAUGUGCACUAUCCCAGAAAAGUAGCCUCGUUCAUCUUUUCUAUUUGGCUAACUUUGUGGCCUUUUCUAUUUGAAAAGAUAAAUGGGACUAAAGUUGUAUUUUCUGGGAAUGCUGUUCCACCAAAAGAACGUGUUUUGAUUAUUUCCAAUCACAGAACUGAGGUUGAUUGGAUGUACUUGUGGGAUCUUGCAUUGCGUAAAGGGUGCCUGGGCUCAAUUAAGUAUAUCCUCAAGAGCAGCUUGAUGAAACUUCCUGUCUUUGGUUGGGGUUUUCACAUUUUGGAGUUCAUUUCUGUUGAUAGGAAGUGGGAAGUUGAUGAACCUGUCAUGCGUCAAAUGCUUUCAAAUUUUAAGGAUCCUCAAGAUGGCUUGUGGCUUGCACUUUUUCCUGAAGGGACUGAUUUUACAGAACUGAAAUGCCUAGGGAGUCAAAAGUUUGCAGCUGAAGUUGCACUUCCUGUGCUGACAAAUGUUCUGCUUCCAAAAACAAGGGGUUUUUGUCUUUGCUUGGAAGUGCUUCGGAGUUCCUUGGAUGCAGGUUUUUUUCAACUAAUUUUACUGUUAUAUAUUUGAUGCGAGGGAAUAGUAGUUGCAUUAGCAUUGGGCUGUAGAAUUCGCAGAAAGCCAAGAAUAGAUGGUUAAAGUCAACACAAUUUUUCCCUAAUUAAUUGUGAUUAUAUUUGCAUGAUUUGUCAAAAUUAUAUAUCAUGAUUUCACAUGAAAGAAGAAAAUCUUGUUCUGCAGUUGUAUCCCACAUAUUUCCAGAUAUUAUAUUAUACACUUACCAUGUCUCUUACAACUGCAGUUUAUGAUAUAAGUAUUGCAUACAAGCAUCAAUGCCCUACCUUUUUGGACAAUGUAUUUGGUGUGGAUCCUGCAGAAGUCCACAUUCACAUUCGACGUAUCCCAGUCAAGGAUAUCCCAGCAUCUGAUAGUGAGGCUGCUACCUGGUUAAUGAAUACCUUCCAGCUCAAGGAUCGAUUACUAUCAGAUUUCAAAAUUCAUGGCCAUUUCCCUAACGAAGGAACAGGAGAAGAACUUUCUACAUUGAAAUGCUUGGUAAAUCUUAUGACGGUAAUUUCCUUGACUGCCAUAUUGACUUAUCUCACCCUUUUUUCAUCCAUUUGGUUCAAAAUAUAUGUAAGUUCAGCUUGUGCAUUUCUUACCUUAGCUACUUACUUUAAAAUUCAGCCAAUGCCACUUAUAGGCUCUUUUACACCAGUGUUUCGUUGCAAGAAAACAUAGUAAUGAAUAGCUUGUCGUACAAGAUCAAAUACACAAGUUAGAUCUCAUGUGAACCUUAUUGCAAAUUGAUAGGAACUUAUAUUUCAAUAUUUUUUCCCAAUAUUAUCAGGUAAAGGGCGAAUAAUCUAUUUGACGGUAAAACUUAUUCCCUUGGCCUUUUAUAGCAUUGAAGUUUAUCACCAAAAUGAUUGAUGUAAAACAAAGAAUCUUGAUCACUUAUACCAUGAAAGGAUAUAGUACUGUUCCAAUUAAAAGGGCAAUUAUGAAUCCCUUUGGAGGCUUGCUUGUAAUUUGUAAUUAUAUGAGUAACUACGGUUGGUUUUGGUUCAUUUGCAUGCCCUGACAGUGCAUCCUCCAUUUGUAAGUUUAAUGCAUCUGAUCAUCUUCCUCAGGGUAGGUAAAGCCCCGUCUUUUGAACUCCGAUAACAAGUCCAUUGAAUAUUUUGGGCUGGACAAUGUAGACUAACAUAUACAAGGUGCUAGUCUAAGUCCACACUGGCCAUGACUAGCCCUGUUGUGUCAUCCAAGGUCAGUAAAAAGAAUAGGAAGACACGGAGCACAUAUCCCGAUCCAUUAACUCUUUGACAAUUUUCUUUUCCCAUUUCUCAUAGAACCUUAAUAAUUCACACUGGUCCAAUUGUUCAAAGCUUAUUGGUCCAGGCUAGAUGGGCUUUUUUUCAUCACAUUUCACAGAUUCACUAAUAUAACAAAAAUCUUUGUGGAGUUUUUUUUUAUUUUUUAAAAAAAUGUACACAGACACUCAGUUGGGAAACAUUGUGAUUUUAUCCAUCACUGAUGUGGAAUCUCACUUUCACCCAUGAACAGGAUUCACUUUGAUGUGUCCCAACCGCAAGUGUACGGAUCGUACAAGUAACAUAGAAAAAAUACCGUUCCCACGAGGAGUUGUGUUAA
rnacentral:misc_RNA from 1 species